CACAUUCUUCUUACUUGCUUUGCAGCAAUUAUUCAAAGUGAAUAGCAAGACAAAAAAACUGAUGAUGGUUCGUCAAUUGGGAAAUCUUACCCAAGCAAACCUAGCUCGAGUGUUGAAUUCCAUGUCAAACCUAGUUAGAUCCUCGUUGAAAACACGUGGUGGACCAAGAAGGUCGGGUCUGAGCAACGGAAAUGGUGGACAAAUUAAUAGGUUUGGAACAAAGAAGGAGACAGAGAGUUUGGCAAACAACUCCAAAAAUUAAGUUUCAGAAUGAUGACAAAGGGCUGAAGCUAGUCUAUAGUAUACAAUAUAUAAGUGCUGGGCAAUAUAAAAUAGUAACUUGUAUAUGGAAAUGUUGAUGUUUGCGCUUCAUAUUCAAAUAGUAGCUUAAUUUAGAGGAUGUAUGAUAAUUGAUGAAUAAGGUAAUUUGAGCUUGUUUCAAAAGUUGGGUUUAAUUCACGUGAACCGUGUGACUUACUAUCAAUUAUAAUGUUAAUUUUAGAGUAUUA